AUGCGCAAUUGGGCCUGACCUAUAGAAAGGAGCCUUUGAGCUUUGGGCAAGAGCCUUACCGAGAAGAAGAGAUGGAAGCAAGAAGGUCACCUCCUGUCUGUGUUGGAAAACAUACACACUGUUUAUAAAGAAGAUCUCUUCUAGGGGCUGAGGACCAACCACACCCAUAAUUGUAGGCAACAGAUGCCUUCCAACAGUCUCCAUUGGGCCUAGAAGACCCAAACCUCCAGAAUAAUCACUCAGUGAUGAACUUCGAUGUCAGGAGCGAACCUCCGGAAACAGUGGGGUUCCUCGAGGAAUACCUGAUGUGUUCUGAUGAGCAACCACAGGAGCCACGAGGAUAUCUUUGUCACUGUUCUUUUGCUGUGAGGAGACACCAUGACCACUGCACCUCUUAUAAAGGAAAACAUUUAAUUGGGGCUGCCUUACAGUUUCAGAGGUUUAGUCCAUUAUUGUCAUGGCAAGAAACAUGGCAACACGCAGGAGGACAUGGUGCUGCUGGAGGAGAUGAGAGUUGCACAUCUGGAUCCACAGGCAGCAGAAAGAGAACUGGCUAGAGCUUUUGCGACCUCAAGCCCCACCCCCUAGUUUCACAAUUCCUUCAACAAAGGCACGCCCACUCCAAGGCCCCACCUCCAAAUAGUGCCCCUU
rnacentral:lncRNA from 1 species